rnacentral:lncRNA from 1 species
AGAGCUGCUGAGUUCAUCAUUUUGCUCUGAAUCUGAAUAUCUCUGAGUUCGAUUUUCAGUUUAUCUUUUUCUUUUCUGGAUGAAUACUUUCCGGGUGAUCUCAAUAUGCUUCUGAAUAAGUGCGAUUCAUGAGCAGGUUUGAUAUUAUUUUACAGCAUUUGACUAAUUGAAGGAAAUCCAUCCUAUUUGAUUGUAGGAUUAAGAUGAUGAUGAUGAUGAUGAUACCAAUGCUCUGAGGAGUGAUAUUCUUAUACCAUAUUCCCAGGAACCGGUUUCUUGAUCUCAGCGGGCUAAAAAAUCCCAACUCAAAUCUUCCUCCUGCUGAAGCUAGCAUCUCACCAUCUAUCAGGGUCUCGCCUGGUUUAAGGGUAUCCUGAGCACUACAAGUUGUUGAGAAGUGGAAUAUGAAGGCGCAUACAAGCACUAUUAUGCCUGCCAUAAGCCUUCUAUGUGAUUCAACAGAUUCAAAUGCAUAAGAACAAUACUAUGUACGUGAAGAAAGAGGGAAAUUAUAAAGAAGUGAGAAAUGAAGCGGGAUUCCAAAUUGUUGAUCUGUCAGCAUGCAGAAGACAAAGUUGACCAAGCUGCUAAAAUAAUUUGUAAGUCAACAAACAAAGUUCCUGGCAGUUUCCCAUUUAAAGAUUAUCUUAGUUUACCUUCCUUGCUAGAAUUUUCAUGGACAAAGAUGUUUUGUGAUUUUCAAUGAGACAAUGACGUGUUUGGCAUAACAGUGCUGGUCAUGGUUGAAGUUUAAAUGUACUGUCAAGGUCCAGAGAAAUAGGCUAAUGUUUUUGUCCUAAUUUUCAAUUAGGUUCUUACUCUUUCAUUUAAUAUUAUAAUUACAAUAAUGAGACUAAUAUAAUUGUUAUUACAAUUGAACCAAAAUAUCUGACUAUCUCCAUCUCUUAG